ACACUGUGGUGUGCACUGCACAUCUCUAAGGAUGCCAUUCACAUAGAAAAUGGUGUGAUGGAGUCCUUAGAGUAUUUUGCAGUAUACAACGUGAAC
rnacentral:miRNA from 1 species